CGUGUAGGCGGAUCUACAAGUCACAUGUGAAAUCCAACGGCUUAACCGUUGGCUUGCAUUUGAAACUGUGGAUCUUGAGUACGGGAGAGGAAAGUGGAAUUCCUGGUGUAGCGGUGAAAUGCGUAGAUAUCAGGAGGAACACCGGUGGCGAAGGCGGCUUUCUGGCCCGAUACUGACGCUGAGGCGCGAAGGCCGGGGGAGCAAACAGGAUUAGAUACCCUGGUAGUCC
rnacentral:rRNA from 1 species